rnacentral:rRNA from 1 species
AGCGAACGCUGGCGGCAGGCCUAACACAUGCAAGUCGAACGGACCUUUCGGGGUUAGUGGCGGACGGGUGAGUAAAACGUGGGAACGUGCAAUUAGGUUCGGAAUAGCUCCUGGAAACGGGUGGUAAUGCCGAAUGCGACCUUUGGGGGUAAGAUUUAUCGCCUUUAGAGCGGCCCGCGUCUGAAUAGCUAGUUGGUGAGGUAAUGCCUCACCAAGGCUACGAUCAGUAGCUGGUCUGAGAGGAUGACCAGCCACAUUGGGACUGAGACACAGCCCAAACUCCUAAGGGAGGCAGCAGUGGGGAAUCUUGCGGAAUGGGCGAAAGCCUGACGCAGCUAUGCCGCGUGGAUGAUGAAGGUCUUAGGAUUGUAAAAUCCUUUCACCGGUGAAGAUAAUGACUGUAGCCGGAGAAGAAGCCCCGGCUAACUUCGUGCCAGCAGCCGCGGUAA